UCUAUGCUGUAUUUUUUUUGGCUUUGAGCCAAGCGUUACGAGGUGGAUCCACGUGUUUUUUGUACAUGUAGUAGAUGUGUGCACAUCGGGGGCUUA
rnacentral:lncRNA from 1 species